GAAAUAUGUUGAUAAUAACGCUGUUUUUGACGACGGUAGAACGGGUUACAGUUGUGAAAUAUCAAACAAGAUUAUAGCAAAAAGAGGACGUAAACGAAGUGCACUAUAUUGUCGUCCAUCCUGGCUGAAAGCAACCAAAAAAAGACGUCUAACAAUCAAUACAAAA